CCCUGUGCCACGCCCGGGUCCCAGCCUCUGCGGCGUCCUGAUGGCCGCAGGUUCCAAUGUGUGUGCCAAUUUUCAAGAAUUUCUGACUGUGUUCCAGGGGGCGCCGUAGAGCCCCUGUGCCACGCCCGGGUCCCAGCCUCUGCGGCGUCCUGAUGGCCGCAGGUUCCAAUGUGUGUGCCAAUUUUCAAGAGUUUUUGAGUAUGUUAAGGCCUCCAAAAACCCCCGGAAGGUUAAAAAAAAAAUAAAAAUAAUAAUAAUAAUAAUAAGAAUAAUCCUUAGGAAAACAAUAGGGCCCUGCGCCCAUUGGCUCGGGCCCUAAUUAAAGCUGCAAGCAGCGAUGAAUGGGCC
ensembl:lncRNA